rnacentral:rRNA from 1 species
UUAGCAUAUCAAUAAGCGGAGGAAAAGAAACCAACCGGGAUUGCCUCAGUAACGGCGAGUGAAGCGGCAAGAGCUCAAAUUUGAAAGCUGGCUCCUUCGGAGUCCGCAUUGUAAUUUGCAGAGGAUGCUUUGGGUGCGGCCCCCGUCUAAGUGCCCUGGAACGGGCCGUCAGAGAGGGUGAGAAUCCCGUCUUGGGCGGGGUGUCCGUGCCCGUGUAAAGCUCCUUCGACGAGUCGAGUUGUUUGGGAAUGCAGCUCUAAAUGGGUGGUAAAUUUCAUCUAAAGCUAAAUACUGGCCGGAGACCGAUAGCGCACAAGUAGAGUGAUCGAAAGAUGAAAAGCACUUUGAAAAGAGAGUUAAACAGCACGUGAAAUUGUUGAAAGGGAAGCGCUUGCGACCAGACUCGCCCGCGGGGUUCAGCCGGCAUUCGUGCCGGUGUACUUCCCCGUGGGCGGGCCAGCGUCGGUUUGGGCGGCCGGUCAAAGGCCCCUGGAAUGUAGUACCCUCCGGGGUACCUUAUAGCCAGGGGUGCAAUGCGGCCAGCCUGGACCGAGGAACGCGCUUCGGCACGGACGCUGGCAUAAUGGUCGUAAACGACCCGUCUUGAAACACGGACCAAGGAGUCUAACAUCUACGCGAGUGUUCGGGUGUCAAACCCGUGCGCGCAGUGAAAGCGAACGGAGGUGGGAGCCCCCUCGCGGGGCGCACCAUCGACCGAUCCUGAUGUCUUCGGAUGGAUUUGAGUAAGAGCGUAAAUGUGGGGACCCGAAAGAUGGUGAACUAUGCCUGAAUAGGGCGAAGCCAGAGGAAACUCUGGUGGAGGCUCGCAGCGGUUCUCACGUCAAAUCUAUCUUA